CAAUAUGAAGGUCAGGCUGAAGACCUUACCCGAUUAGCUGAGAGGUGGUGCAUGGCCGUCGUCAGUUCGUACUGUGAAGCAUCCUGUUAAGUCAGGCAACGAGCGAGACCCACGUCCACAGUUGCCAGCAUACCCUCCGGGGUGAUGGGUACACUGUGGAGACCGCCGCUGCUAAAGCGGAGGAAGGAGUGGGCAACGGUAGGUCAGCAUGCCCCGAAUCUCCCGGGCUACACGCGGGCUACAAUGGUUGGUACAAUGGGCAUCUACCCCGAAAGGGGAAGGAAAUCUCUUAAAGCCAAUCGUAGUUCGGAUUGAGGGCUGCAACUCGCCCUCAUGAAGCUGGAAUCCGUAGUAAUCGCGUUUCAACAGAACGCGGUGAAUACGUCCCUGCUCCUU
rnacentral:rRNA from 1 species